CCUGACUGCUAUCGGAUUGAUACUAAGCCAUGCGAGUCAUUGUAGCAAUACAAGGCAGACGGCUCAGUAACGCGUAGUCAACCUACCCUAUGGACGGGGAUAACCUCGGGAAACUGAGAAUAAUACCCGAUAGAACAUUAUACCUGGAAUGGUUUAUGUUUCAAAUAAUUUAUUGCCGUAGGAUGGGACUGCGGCCUAUCAGUUUGUUGGUGAGGUAAUGGCCCACCAAGACUAUUACAGGUACGGGCUCUGAGAGGAGUAGCCCGGAGAUGGGUACUGAGACACGGACCCAGGCCCUAUGGGGCGCAGCAGGCGAGAAAACUUUGCAAUGUGCGAAAGCACGACAAGGUUAAUCCGAGUGGUUUCUGCUAAAGGAACCUUUUGUCAGUCCUAGAAACACUGAUGAAUAAGGGAUGGGCAAGUUCUGGUGUCAGCCGCCGCGGUAAAACCAGCACCUCAAGUGGUCAGGAUGAUUAUUGGGCCUAAAGCAUCCGUAGCCUGCUUUGUUAGUUUUCGGUUAAAUCCAUACGCUUAACGUAUGGGCUGCCGGGAAUACUGCAAAGCUAGGGAGUGGGAGAGGUAGACGGUACUCGGUAGGAAGGGGUAAAA
rnacentral:rRNA from 1 species